AUUAAAAAAAAAAAAAAUCUCCCUCCCCGUUUGGGAGUGCGUCGCCCAAAUCGCCCCUAUUAACGAGCCGCCAGUGGAGACAACCUGACUUCCGUUUUCACUCUGCCACAUACCGCGACCGAGGAAGACGGCAGCGCGAGCGGCGCUCGAGAGGCACAAAACGGAAGCCUGAGAUCAAAGCUGGAAUGGGAGGAACAGCUUCAUCACAAGAUGAUCCAAUUAACAAAGAAAAUCCCACAUCACUGCAGAUAACAAUGAACAGCUCCUCUGCGGAGAUACUGCCACAACCUGAAGAGCAAGGUGACCGCCGAAAGCCUGAGGCCCAUGGUAAAACUGAGCAGUUAUACCAUGGAGGAGUGGGGACUUUGCCGUUUCCUCCCCCCCAACUCGCCCCUGGGAGAACUGCUGCCUUCACGGGCGGCCGGUGCCGCUGGAGGGCCGCCCGCGCGACCUCGGCUCCCGACAAAAAAUUGGAUCUAGGGCUGACUUUCAGUGGAUCGCAGCGAUGGAGCUGCUCUACCACUCACGACACCCCGGCCCAGAAUCAGGGAAAAAUACCGCGCGCUGACGUCAUUAAGGUGCGACGCGAGGAAACAAAAUAAAUUCAACAAAUGUUUGGGUUUUUACUGAACAAACAAACAAAUAAAAUGAACGAGUGACUUAAAAAAAAGAAUGUGGGUGUCUUUGUAAAAACUGUUUUGAUUGGCUAUUAUAACAGAGGUAGCGCAGAGUACCUGGCUAACUGCAGGAAGCGGUUAGCUGCACAACUAAUGUAGCCAUCGCAAACGCACCGAUUUUAAAACAUGGCAAAACGACUUAACAGUUAUACACUUACUUGUUUCGGUGUUUGUGGCUGAUGCAGCAGGGAUGCUUGGUACGGACCCAGGCUUCAGUGACAGUUGAUGUGUAAAACCUGCCCUGUACUGUCCCAAGUUGUGGAAACAUUCCUCAGGAAAAUGCUUCCGAUAAACAUACACCGUCUUAGGUAGACUCGACGGCGUAUUAUUGGAGUAAAUAAAAUUAAGCCACUGCGUCUUCAGGGGCUCUCCCGUCGGCAGUAAAGACUCUUUUCUGUGUUGUCACAUCCAUGUACAGCGCAAUUUCCAUGUUUCGCUCGCUUAGGUGGUGCCAUGUUGUUGUGUCCUCCCUCUAUGGUCUCCUCACUACAACUGGGCGGGGCAAUCCAUACAGUGGGUGGGAAUCUAGAGGGGGGGCGUGGGGAUCAGCUCCCUUGCUGACGUAGUAAAGGGAAGAGCUUAUCAACGCGCCGUUUUGACGCGCCAUUCUCAAAUGUCGGGCAUAGUUUGGUUUACACAUUAUGAAAUUUCUAGCCACUGGGGUGACUUAAGAAGGUCAGAGGAACUCAUUUUAACGUUAAAAAACCUCAAAGUGAAAAUUUCAUGCCAUGGGACCUUUAAAGAUUCCUGACUUUUUUUUUUUUAAUAGUACAGUAUUGAUACAAAUAAUUCACAUCAAAACUUAUGUGAACUACCAUACUCAUACAGAGUAACUUGGUUGCAUGUCAUUAUAAGAAAAUAAUUAACAUCUGUUUGGGAUUCAGACUUGAGUAUUUUCCUAGAACAGGAAAUCCUGAAGUGUUUAUUUCGUCUUAUACCACAGUAAUUUGCCAGUGAUUACAAUUUCCAAUUAAUAAAAGACUGACGUGUAGUAGGAUGUCUGUGAAACAAGUUAUUUCUUAUAUUGUAAUGGGUGGACAUUUGAAACAUUCACUUUCAUUUGAAGUUAAAAAGACAAAAAAAAUGCAGAUUUGAGAAUACAACACUUGUAUAAAAUAUGUUGCUUUGGAGCAUUAUAUAUACAUUUAAUAAAUAUUUGAUUUAUGAUAUUCCUAUAGAUGAUGGGAAACAAAAUGCAUCAAAUUAUGCUAUAUAAAAUUAAAUUGCAAGGGAAGGUGCUCUGGUGUGACAGAUCUGAUGUGUACUUUUGAGAUCUAAGGAAAGCGCAACAAGGACACUGCUCUAAUGCAUUUUUAUCUAUUUUUUGCCUGUGCUCUAUAGUGCCCAGUGUGUUCCUCCUUCCUAAAGCCUGCAGUGGUUCCAGCAGGAUGUACCACUUCGCUACUGCAGUGCACACGAUGCUCUGCCACACCACUGUGUGAGCACUGCCUGUACCCUUGCCCUGAUGGCACCUGCACCAACCGGUCGUGUCCCGUCAUCUCAUUGCUGCUCACCUGUGACCGAGUCACGGAUUCGUUAAGCGAAGUGUGCGGCUGCCCCCUUUUCCGAGCCUGUCCCAAAUGCCACAAUAUAAUGAUGCAUGAGACAGGGUGCAUGUAUAUGAGAUGCCCACAGUGCAAACAUAAAUACUGUUUUAUCUGCCUAAGGAACAGAGAGGAAUGCGAAAAGGACGAAAACAAUUUCCGGUCCCUGACUUGCUCCGCACCCACAGCAGCACGGCAACGAUUUCAAACCUGACGAGCUGGACAUAGGAGAUCUCUCAGAGCUGUGUGUGUCUAUAUCUAUAUCUCUAUCUAUAUUGGGAAAAUUUAAACAUGGUGACAGUAUAUUUGAGACUAUAUUCAAAUAUUCUAAACAAACUAUUUUUGUAAACUCAGAACUAAAAUAUUCUACAUUCAUAUUGUUAUUUUGAGUCAGAAUAUACACUAGCCAGAGCAGGUCAUGAUAUUUUUUUAACCAUAUUAACAUGCCAUUGUUGUGUGUUAUGCCUGAUGUCAAAACUCUCGUCUCUGCGAGCCUACCACACAGAUUUAAUACUUGUCAUUUUUAGGGCAUACCUAACAACAUGUGUUUUCUUCCCCCCCCCCCCAAUCUGUCCCUCCGGGUUGCGUGUUGGUCCUGGGGUUGGGAUGCUGGCCUCUUCUGCCCCUCGGACCUGCUUGAUCCAUCCUGGUGCCCUGUGUCUGGUCGGAGUUUUAUCGCAUCGCUCCUGUGGAGGACGGCCCCAUGAGGACAGUUGAGGGUUACACCUGGAGCAGAGCCGGCCCGUGGCAUAGGCAAUAUAGGCAAAUGCUAAGGGUGCUGCGUCCAUCCAGGGGCACAGAAAUGGGGGGAGAAAAAUUAUGACUUCCACUAUUCUGAAAACGAGUCAGCAUUAUAAUGUCUUAGCCUAAUUUAAUUGUACAGCAAAGCAUGUAGUCAGGGUGCGAUUUGUCAAAAAAAGCGGGGUGGGGUGGGGGUUGUUAAUCAUGAAACAAUAAGCGCUCAACAGUGGUUCGCGCAAGUGCGCAUCUGCGGCUAUUAUCUGUUUUGGCCAUGUAAUAGCCUAAGUGUUGUUGGCUAAAGAGUGUUUUUGCAUAACGUAGAUAACUGACAUAGAUCUGUUGCUUGUUUUGAAUAUGGCUGCACUUGGAGCAGUCUGUCGGUGUCGUUGAGCAGUCUGGGCUGAAGUAAAGGUCUUUUAUGCACCAACACGUUUCGCAGCGAGAUAUUCCAAUGGUGCCUGGCACUUUUUUUUUUUUAAAUAAAACAAAGUUGCUUUGUUGAUCUGUGUUCUCAUUAAAAUGACAGUUUAGCAGCUCAUUCAAGCAACCAUGUUGCGAAGAGCUUCCUGGAGGAAAAUAUAAUAAACGCGCUGAAAACAAGAAACAAUCUCAGUGCGUCAAGACUGCAGGGAAACGAAACAAGCACUCAGAUGUGUUCUCUUUACCAGCGCCGGCGAGCGCAAAGUGUGCCCAGGGGCGCCAAGGGCGACCAGAACCCCACCAAAAAGGAGGGAUGGAGUUAUUGAAUGGAGAUGUUACCAAGUGCAUCAGUGGUGUACAGUGUUUUCAACCACUGUGCUGCCGAACUCUAGUACCGCGGAACACUAGUGUGCCGUGAGAGAUCACCAAGUGUACCAUGGAAAAUUAUAGAAUGACUGUAUAUUGUAAAUAUUGGCAACAGCGUUUUAGUUUCAGUCAACAUUUUCUAUUGGUGAUGUGCCUUGAGAUUUUUUUCAUUGAAAAAAGUGCACCCUGGCUCAUGAAAGGUUGAAAACCUUUUUUACAACACCUCUGAUGCGGCUGGGGAUGUAGAAAUACGCGCUCCUUACCUCUGCUGUUACACUACCUGUGACAGUAGCUUCUGCUGAAAGAAGCUUUUCAAAAUUAAAACUGCUGAAGACAUACUUAAGGUCAACAAUGAGUCAAGAACGUCUGAAUGGGCUUGCUCUAAUGAGCAUCAACCAAGAGAUCUCAAGAGAAAUAUAAUUUGAUGAUGAUAUCAAGGAAUUUGCCAUUAGGAAGACCAGACGAGUCCCAUUGUAAUGUUACUUCAAUAACAAAGUACCCAUAAUAGCACUUUUGUUUGAAAAUACAGCCCAUUGAUGUCCUAACAGGGUGCUUAAGUUUGCACAAUUUAGAAUUGUUGAAUUUUUUAUUCAUUUAAUUUGUUAAUUCUUCAGAGAUGACAACUUUUAAUAGCAAAAAAGAAACUAAAAAUAAUUUGUUUAUUGUCCAUGCACUACACUUUGAACAGGGUGCGGAAGAGUUUUUGCCCAUUAUAUGGAGAUAUGUAUUGAAUUUGUGUGGUCAUUUUACUUUGUGACACUUUAUGUGAAUAAUGAUAACAAUAAUAACAAUAAUGAAAGAUAAAAA